GAAAUGCGAUAAGUAAUGUGAAUUGCAGAAUUCGGUGAAUCAUCGAAUCUUUGAACGCACAUUGCGCCCGCCAGUAUUCUGGCGGGCAUGCCUGUCCGAGCGUCAUUUCAACCAUCAAGCCCCCGGGCUUGUGUUGGGGACCUGCGGCUGCCCGCAGGCCCUGAAAACCAGUGGCGGGCUCGCUGUCACACCGAGCGUAGUAGCAAUCACCUCGCUCAGGGCGUGCUGCGGGUUCCGGCCGUUAAACAGCCUUACAAAACCCAAGGUUGACCUCGGAUCAGGUAGGAAGACCCGCUGAACUUAAGC
rnacentral:misc_RNA from 1 species